CUCAGAAGUGAAACGAUGCAUCGCCGAUGGUAGUGUGGGGUUUCCCCAUGUGAGAGUAGGUCAUCGUCAAGA
rnacentral:rRNA from 2 species